UGGCGAAGAGGUCACACCCGUUCCCAUGCCGAACACGGAAGUUAAGCUCUUCAGCGCCGAUGGUAGUUGGGGGUUUCCCCCUGUGAGAGUAGGACGUUGCCAGGC
rnacentral:rRNA from 1 species